GGCGCAGAUUCUGUCUCCUGCAGCAUCAGUGGUCAUCCGGGGCCCUGCUGCUCCGAGGAUGGGAGCUGGACUGGGCCAUCCAAGCUGCCGUUUGGCCCACGUACUUGCUGAGCACCAUGUCCGCCCACCCAGUGAUGGAGGCCUUCUUUGCCAAGUAUGUCUAUCGUGACCAUUAGACAUGUUCAGGGAAUACAAACUCAGGGUACGUUUGGGGAAAAAAAAAAAAGUAAAAGCAAACAAGAAAAAAGAAUUUCAAAGUCCUUUUGCCCAUAGACAGCCUCGGAAACCGACGCACACUGUGUCUGCAUCUGUGUGUGUGGUAGCUCUGUUCACUUCCUGAGUGUGACCGCUGUGGCUGGUGGCUGUAGGACGUACCCUUCCCCUUGGCAGGUGUGCUGUGUUCCUUUAGACACAACAAACAAAACACCACAGGCUGGGCAGCUUCAACAUCAUUCAUUUCUCACAGCUCUGGAGGCUGAUGGUCUGGAAUCAGGGUGCUGGCAUGGCCGGGUUGCAGACUUCUCGCCAUGUCCUCACAAGGUUCCAGAGGCCAGUCCCUGGGCAGUGCAGCCGCGAGCAGAGGUGUUACAGGUGUAACGGCAAAUGCCGAGCACCGGUCUACGUACCGCACGCGUGUCCACCCACUAACUCACAGGUUGAAGCUUCCCCACUUCACGGAGGUCAGAGGCUUGCCCCAAGUCAAACAGCUGAUGGGUGAGCUAGGGUGGUCAGCCUUCCCUCCUGACCCGGACGGGGCUGCCCUGUUGGCAGUGUCCUCCAUCUAUUGACUGCAAGAGUGACCAUGGAGGCUGGCUGGAGGAGCAAGAGCCACCAGAACGCGUGAGGUGUGCAGACACUCUUCCCGGGAUCUCACGCCCCUGCAUCUCAAGUGCUGAGGCAGUUUGAUUUCAGAGUCUUGCUGAGCAGGCCAGUAGGACGCUUCUCUUCCACACAGCUGCAGCUAAGAAAGGACCCCUCACCCUGUACUUCUGCAGUUGAGACUCUGGACUGGAAUAUGAGUGCACUUAGAGGAAUCGACUCCAGCCUAGAUUUUGGUCAGCUUAUGUAGCUACCAAGGCAUGAGAGCCACCCCGUCUAAUGGCCUCCGUGUUCCAGCCCCUGAUCUAGGACCAUGUCAAUCCAAAGAGAGAAUCCAGAGGCUGGAGAUGAUUUUGGUGGAAUCCUCUGGCCCUCUCUGGCUGGCCUGGAGUUGCUGUUACAGGACAGCAUCAUGCCCAGGUUGGAAUCUGGAAGACUUCAUGUAACUUCCCGGGAAGUGGCCGAGAGAGGGUUCCCUUCUGGGGAUGGCACAGUGACCAAACUGCAGUCCCUGGUCCUCUUGCACUGACCCUUUUGGACCUAAGUUCUGGGUGGGGUAGGGACAGCUGGAGGGGCAGUUACAACUGAAAUGGGCAUGGGCACAAUAAUUUCAUAGUGUCCUGGUACCUGGAGAAGGGACACCUCCAAAGGGGCAGGUACAGGCCAUGGGCACAAUCUUCAACCCAAGAACUAGCACUGCAGCCUGAGAACACACUGAACUUUGUGCCUGGCUAAGCAGCCGUGGCUGGUGAUUGGGCUGAGAUCCUGGUCCAUGUGCUAGAAACACAGAAACCCACACAGACCUGACCAUCCCGAACUCUGCUGUUCCCAAUUCCAGAAAGUUCUGGAACCUCCCACUGCAAACACAGGGACCAGUCAGCCCUUUCUUCACCUGAUACAAAUCCAUAACCUGCUAUUGGUUAUCAGCCAUCAAGGCUGUGUCUCAGGGACCUACCUACAGGCUUAGCCAGACCGGUGUGACGGUGACCCAAAUCAAGUGUUGCCAUAAAUCCCGAAGUGACUGACCUGUGUCCCUCUGGGUUACCUUUCUGUAUGUGGGAUGGGGAGGAGGGUUCAUUGACCCCAAUUUUGCUCAUGGUAACUGGCAAGGACACCAAAGAUCGACAGGUCUAGAGUGAGUGGUAGUGGGCAGUAGCCAGUCUGAAUAAGACUUCUGGUCCCCUCCAACUUUUGGUGAGUCCAGGACCCUAGGGCAGGGCCACUAUCCACACCGUGGUUAGCCUCACACUGCUGGUGAGCAGUCUGUCUCCAUCUCCACCAGCCUCUGGGAAAAGGCAACAGGCUCAUCUGUCAGUUUCCAGACCCUCCCAGUUCUGGCAGUUUAUGGCAGGACGAAUUCAGAGAAGUACGGUAAGCAGCAGGAACAGUACACACCCUGGCCUCUGGGUGGCAUCUGCUGGGCUCCCGUGAGCUCUUCCUGCUGAGGCCAGGUCUGCACUGGGUUUGGCUGGAGAUGCCGCCUGGGGUCUCAGUGUGGGAGGGGGGAGGCUCUCUUACACAGUUCAAUUCUUAUGAUCACCCUGUAACAAUGCUGAUAAGCAGAGAGACUCUGGAUUUCAAGGACAGUGACAUCCCAGAGUCACAGAGCAGGUCCCUGGGCCCGGGUGCAAUUCCUGGAGUCCUGCGCUGAUCCGAGCUCCUCUCUGAACAGGCCAACACUGGGCCCUCCGGCUGUAACCCCGGGUUGCUCUGGUGGGGCGGGAGAAAGGGGUUCUAGGCACCUUCCUCUGGGCUUCCACUAGCACGAGCUAACACAUCCUGACUGCUGAAGCCAACCUGAGGGACCAGUGCACAGGGAAGACUUUGGGUAACUUCUAGGCUACCUGUCUGGCAAAGCUCACAGGCCUUUUCCCGUGAUCUUCCUUAUCCAUAGGACUGAGGGUCUUCCCUCUGUGAACUCGAAACUCUACACAUGUGCACCCUGACUCGAGGGACACAGGCUUUGCUGAGUGGGCUAAGGUCACACGUUCUAGCAAAGGAACAUCCACU